AAAUAAACAGUAAAGAUCGGUCGGUGUCAAGAUCUGCGUCUUCUUCUCAAAACCGAUAACAUCUACUCAUUUAAUUGAUCAUAGGAUUUUAACCAGAAUUUGAAGGUGGACAUCGCCGCUUUUCGAUGUUAAUAGCAAGGAACUCGGCCCAGAUGUUCUUGGCAUGAGCAAGAGAAGUCUAUGGAGUCAUUUUACCCAAAAGAAUAGGAAUAUCGGCCUGGAGGUGCACCUGUCCUGGACAUCAGCCGUGCUGCCCAUGGAAUCAUCAGAUAUAAGUUGAGUUGGCGUCACAGUGAUUACAGCUGGUCCUGUUAUUUUAUUCUUUUGUAAAGUCUCUUUGAGUAAGCUUGAAUGAUUUUCUCUCUGGCACCAAACUUUGUUGGCCAUUUAAUGUCACUUUUCACGACAGGGGUGCUUUAGAACCUAUGGUAGUUUCCUGAUGCCAUAAUUUACCCCUGUAAAUUUUCUAAAAUUUGUACAAAAAAAAUUGAUAAUCUUUUAUUAAAAAAAAAAUAAAACAAAGUAUAUAGUCCUCCCAACAUUACUUUGGUCUUUGGGCCCCAUAAAACCUGGAGAUCAAAGUAAUGCUGAGACGACUAUAUUUUCCCGAGGGCUGGGGGUGGUGGUGGGGAUGUGGACAACACCCACAUUGUGGAAGGGUCUAGCGGAGCCGUUCCGCUCAAGCUGUGGAGUCAGCAAACCCUUUGCCGUGGGUAAACGUGCAAACCCUUGUGCCGUGGGUCAAACGGUGCACUCUUCGGGACACGCUUGACCUCAAGCGUCAAUGAGGCGGGCUGUACGGGGCCCAAUUGGUGUUUAAUCACGUUACCGUACUAUGCGUGAAAUUGCUGUGACGCAAUUUGCUGAGCAUUGAUCGCACCCGGGCGCGGGCAUACAGCGAAAAAGCAGCGUCCUGGCUUAUGUGUGACGAACCCUCCCUCCCCCUGCCCCCGCGCUCCUCGCGGCUGCGGCUGCUGUGGAGGUAGUAGCGGGCUGCCGCCGCUACCGUCGUGACGUCACGGGUGCUUUGGGCGCUGCUGCGGUGGUUGUGGGGUGGUAGUAGCAGCAUCCUGCAGUAAGUCUACUACUGCCUCCACAGCUAACGAGAGCUGCAUCCGAGACGCCCGUGACGUCACUGCUGUAGUGGUGGCAGUCUGCUACUACAUCCACAGUUACUGCAGCGUAGAGUCAGGUCUAUGAAAUAAUGUAAAAUGUUGGAUAGUAAUUGAAUUCUUUAUUGUUUCAAAUCAUUUACAUUAUGAGAAUACAUCUUGCUCAAUUAGCUGGCUUGUUUCUGCUGGUGACUUUGGGCGAAUCUAAAUACCUGAAAAAGAAUGGAAAAAAUCUAAGUUAAAUUCAAAUUAUCUCAGAGUUCAACUUAAACAUGUUCUGGACCAUCGGUAUCACUCGUGACGCCAACUCAUCGAAGGAACUUUCUAUGUUACAGGUGGUAAGCAUCAAGUCCAGGCCCAGGCACACCCCUUUGGAUAAGGACCAGCAUCACUUCUUAUUUUACUACAACUGUACCAUACAAAUGAAAUAAAUAGCAGCAUUACUGUCA